rnacentral:rRNA from 1 species
UACGUAGGGGGCAAGCGUUGUCCGGAUUUAUUGGGCGUAAAGAGCUCGUAGGUGGUUUGUCGCGUUGUUCGUGAAAUCUCACGGCUUAACUGUGAGCGUGCGGGGCGAUACGGGCAGACUGGAGUACUGCAGGGGAGACUGGAAUUCCUGGUGUAGCGGUGGAAUGCGCAGAUAUCAGGAGGAACACCCGUGGCGAAGGCGGCUUCCUGGGGCCAUCCUGACACUGAGAAGCGAAAGCUAGGGGAGCGAACGGG